rnacentral:misc_RNA from 1 species
GAUGAAGAACGUAGCGAAAUGCGAUAAGUAAUGUGAAUUGCAGAAUUCAGUGAAUCAUCGAAUCUUUGAACGCACAUUGCGCCCGCUAGUAUUCUGGCGGGCAUGCCUGUUCGAGCGUCAUUCCAACCAUCAAGCCCUGUUUAGGCUUGCGUUGGGGCCCUGCGGUUGCCGCAGCCCCCUAAAUGCAGUGGCGGGCUCGUUGUCACUCCGAGCGCAGUAGCGUAUCUCGCUCUGGGCGUGGCGGCGGGUGCUAGCCGUGAAACACUCACUAAGGUUGACCUCGGAUCAGGUAGGAAUACCCGCUGAACUUAAGCAUAUCAAUAAGCGGAGGA